rnacentral:lncRNA from 1 species
GAAAAAGUGAAGCUUUAGCAGCAAGUAGAAAAACUGAAGCAUCAGUUGCAGUAACUCAUCCAUUGAGUGAAAAGGUUCUUCCCAUGUCCCUACUCUCAGAAAUGCAUUCUGAAAUUUCGAAGAAACAAGACAUUACACAAGUACAUGGCUUCACUACCAAGGGGAAGGGCAAAAGACCAUCUUUGAUUUAAUUCCAGGCUUCAGUGUCUAAUUCUGUGGCAAAGAUAGCUCAUGAAUUCUUUGUUCCUCUGCCAAGCGCAACAGGGAUAAGUAGCCUUGCUCUGGGAAUAUGAGUUUGAUGAUUGGGUUGCAUGAACCCUGGAAGCCUGGAAUAUUCAUCUAUUUUCACAUUCUUCUGUCCCUCCUGACUGCAGCACUCCCCAAACCUACAUGGAAGAGCUAAAAUCAAUUCUGGUAAAUCUCAUCAACUUCUAGGACACUGUGGUAGAUUUCCUUCAGUUUAAUCUCUAGCAUUAACUGGAAGAAACAUUUUCUUACUCAGUCACUACAUUUGUCAAGAAAUAAUGCUAUGGUUGAACACUGCACGAAAUGAUAGAGAUUAACAGUAGCACAAUACUAGACAUUUCUUUUUUGCUAUUCUACUUAAUGCCUGAUGUAACCUCAUGAGGUGGAUGUUGUACUCCUGACUUUAGAGAUAAGAAAACUGAACUUUUGGGAGGCUAAAUAACUUACUUACAGUUACAUAGUCAAGAAAUGGAGAUGGCAAGAGUUCAGGCCUAGGUUUGUCUGAUUGCAAAUACUACAUCCUUUCUAUUGCUUCACUUUGUUUGGCUUUAAAGCUGUUAAAUGAGAAUGACCAUAAUACCCCAGAGAACUUCUGUGAGGAUUAAAUGGAUAUGCAAAAGCUCUCGACAUAAUACCUGGCUCAAGGUAAAGUUUGGCUGAGACAGCCCUUCUUGGAUCCACCAGACAUCUGGGGAGGCAUUCAACUGGGACCUGCAGGAUUCGCUUUCAAUGUGGCUCACCCACAUGGCCAGGAGUGCAGACCAGGACCAGCUGUUUCUCUCCACAUGGGUUUCUUCAAGGACUUCUUGGGCUUCUUCAGAGCAUGCCAGCUGGAUUUCGUGAUAUCAAGAGGAGUGUAGCACACACAUGUUACAGCUGAAAAUGAUGCGCUGUGAUGUCAAGCACUUUCCCAAGGAGAUGCAGCUAAUAGUUGCCAGAGCCAUAAUGAUAUUA